UACGGAGGGGGCUAGCGUUGUUCGGAAUUACUGGGCGUAAAGCGUACGUAGGCGGCUUUGUAAGUUAGAGGUGAAAGCCCAGAGCUCAACUCUGGAAUUGCCUUUAAGACUGCAUCGCUUGAAUCGUGGAGAGGUUAGUGGAAUUCCGAGUGUAGAGGUGAAAUUCGUAGAUAUUCGGAAGAACACCAGUGGCGAAGGCGGCUCACUGGACUGGUAUUGACGCUGAGGUGCGAAAGCGUGGGGAGCAAACAGG
rnacentral:rRNA from 1 species